GAUGAACGCUAGCUACAGGCUUAACACAUGCAAGUCGAGGGGAAACGGCAUCGAAAGCUUGCUUUUGAUGGGCGUCGACCGGCGCACGGGUGAGUAACGCGUAUCCAACCUGCCCAUCACUUGGGAAUAACCUUGCGAAAGUAAGACUAAUGCCCAAUGACAUCCCACGAAGGCAUCCGAAUGGGAUUAAAGAUUUAUCGGUGAUGGAUGGGGAUGCGUCUGAUUAGCUUGUUGGCGGGGUGACGGCCCACCAAGGCAACGAUCAGUAGGGGUUCUGGGAGGAGGGCCCCCACAUUGGAACUGAGACACGGUCCAAACUCCUACGGGAGGCAGCAGUGAGGAAUAUUGGUCAAUGGGCGAGAGCCUGAACCAGCCAAGUAGCGUGCAGGAUGACGGCCCUAUGGGUUGUAAACUGCUUUUAUAAGGGAAUAAAGUGGGUCACGUGUGACUUUUUGCAUGUACCUUAUGAAUAAGGACCGGCUAAUUCCGUG
rnacentral:rRNA from 1 species